CUGGCCCUUUGUUUACAUUAACUUUAUUUAAUUUCCAUAGAACUUUAUUUUGUGUUAAGCUAUCAUCUGCUGUAACAGGGAUCUGCAAAUCUACAACCAUACAUUCUUCCUCCCCAUAUACUGAAGAAAGCUAAUUCGUUUGUACUUCGGCCUUGUCCUGAUCCUCCUUGAAUAACUUGCCCAUCUCAGAUUCCAAUGGACCAACACUAUGACUUUAUAUUG